rnacentral:lncRNA from 11 species
AACCUUCAGGUCAGCAAUCCAGCCUUCAAGUCAUCAGUCCUGUCAGCACAAGGGUUUAACCCACUGUGCCAAUGAGGGCUCCAGUAUUUAGUAUUUAGUUGUUAGCAGGGUACUUGCAAUCUAGAUGAAAUGGAAGCUUCAUUUGAUAGACUCCCUAUUCUGGUGAAAGGAGUAACUCCAUUCUACCAAUUCCUUGUUGCCUCCAUUUAUCCUCUAAAUGCAAUUCUAAUAGAUUAUCCCACUGCUCAACAUGGAAGCCCCCCAUGGCUAAAGGAGCCAUUAUGGGACAUCUUGGAAAGGCAUUCUCAAACCAAGAGCCAGACUUGCUUUUAUGCCAGUCAAGGAUGGACAGAAAGGAAGAUAAAGAUAAUCAAGAGUGCUAGGUACUAUUUUCUGUAUCUUCACUACUCUCUCAUGAUCUGCUCCCAGAAUUCCUGA